rnacentral:tRNA from 1 species
GGUCUUAUAUUCAAAUAUUAUGAUUUUAAAUUGCAAAUUUAAAGGCGGGUCUACCCCUAAGGCUU